UACAGAGGUCUCAAGUGUUGUUCGGAUUCAUUGGGCGUAAAGGGUGUGUAGGUGGCGCCGUAAGUCGGGUGUGAAAUUUCGGAGCUUAACUCCGAAACUGCAUUCGAUACUGCGGUGCUUGAGGACUGGAGAGGAGACUGGAAUUCAUGGUGUAGCAGUGAAAUGCGUAGAGAUCAUGAGGAAGACCAGUGGCGAAGGCGGGUCUCUGGACAGUUCCUGACACUGAGGCACGAAGGCCAGGGGAGCAAACGGG
rnacentral:rRNA from 1 species